rnacentral:tRNA from 1 species
CGGAGCGUAGCGCAGUUUGGUAGCGCACCACACUGGGGGUGUGGGGGUCACAGGUUCAAAUCCUGUCGUUCCGACCA